CUAAGGAGCACUUCUGCACGACGCUUCACACAGGUGACAGUGGUUGUGCCUGAGACCGUUUCGGAAGCAAUCGUCUUCCGGCGGAAGCUCAUGGGUGGAACGCUGACAAGCUCCAUCGCAUCGACGGCGAUCCUCUGUGGUUGCCGGCGGUGGAUAUAUCGACACACUGUUGGGUCCUGAAAGAACAGACGUUCUUUCCAGGCAAAAAAUAGACUUGCUCAGGUUUUCUGAGAUACCGGCUUUCUUCGGAGGGUGCUGGUCCUGAAGUUUCGAUCUGGGUGGGUGUGUUGUUUGAGAACUGCACAGUGGACGCGAGCAUCUUUGUUAGUAAGUGUUUAAGAGCGUAC
rnacentral:misc_RNA from 1 species